AUUGAACGCUGGCGGCAGGCUUAACACAUGCAAGUCGAGCGAGCGGCGGACGGGUGAGAAAUGUCUGGGAAUCUGCCAGAUGGCGGGGGAUAACUACGGGAAACGGUAGCUAAUACCGUAAACCAUGAGAUGUGCCCAGAGGGGAUUAGCUAGUAGGUGGGAUAAUGGCUCACCUAGGCGACGAUCCAUAGCUGGUCUGAGAGGAUGACCAGCCACACUGGAACUGAGACACGGUCCAGACUCCUACGGGAGGCAGCAGUGGGGAAUAUUGCACAAUGGGCGCAAGCCUGAUGCAGCCAUGCCGCGGGGGUGAAGAAGGCCUUCGGGUUGUAAAGCACUUUCAGCGAGGAGGCGUUACUCGCAGAAGAAGCACCGGCUAACUCCGUGCCAGCAGCCGCGGUAAUAC
rnacentral:rRNA from 1 species